rnacentral:rRNA from 1 species
GACGAACGCUGGCGGAAUGCUUUACACAUGCAAGUCGAACGGCAGCACGGGUGCUUGCACCUGGUGGCGAGUGGCGAAUGGGUGAGUAAUAUAUCGGAACGUAUCCAAUAAUGGGGGAUAACUAGCCGAAAGGUUAGCUAAUACCGCAUACGCCCUGAGGGGGAAAGCUGGGGAUCGUAAGACCUAGCGUUGAUGGAGCGGCCGAUAUCUGAUUAGCUAGUUGGUGGGGUAAGAGCCUACCAAGGCGACGAUCAGUAGCUGGUCUGAGCGGACGGACCACCACACUGGACCGGGGACGCGGUCCAGACGCCUACGGGAGGCAGCAGUGGGGAAUUUUGGACAAUGGGGGCAACCCUGAUCCGGCCAUUCCGCGUGAGUGAAGAAGGCCUUCGGGUUGUAAAGCUCUUUCGCAAGGGAAGAAAACUCGAUCUCUAAUAUAGGUUGAGGCUGACGGUACCUUGAUAAGAAGCACCGGCUAACUACGUGCCAGCCGCCGCCGUAA